CUUAACUCCUCAACUUCUAUAUACACUCUUACAUCUCCAAUUCUCCAAUUUUCAUUCUCUUUAUUGAUUCAUCAACUAAACGCCAUGCAUUAUCAAAUCCAUUAAAUCACUUGCACUUCCAUAAAAUCAAUACCUUAUACAUAUACAACCCAUAUACAUCAUUUAUUCCAAUAUAUAAAAUUCAACACUUGGCAUGUAACUUCAUUCAAACCUUUACAAAUCUGAAAAUAAGAGUUUUGACAAAAACAACACUAAAAUCCCCUAAUAAUGAAAUCUGGCACCAAUUUCUUUAUUGAAAUUUGGCAGUAAAACCUUUGAUAGAAUUAGCACUAUUCUGGGCAGAAUUACAAAAACAUCACCUGUGUAGGAUUUGUCCAAAAAUUGCUUAUAACUAUUACUUAAAAAUGGAGAAAUCAACCCUAAUUCCUUAAUUUAAGUGUUUAACAUCAUAUAAUCACAAAAAAAUUCAAAUAAUAUAUUUCUAUCUUACAAACCCAUUUCAAAAUUCAACUUUCUUCAACUUCAACACUCAAUUAACAUUUCUUUGCUAUAUUCCUAUUUAUAACCUCAAAUGUAUAUCAAUAUCAACUAAUUAUUGCUAAACUUCGAAUUAACGUAAAUUUUCCAUAAACCCCAAAAUAUUCAAGUAACAUAAACUUCAAUUACCUCUUGGAAAUAAGAACUAAGAAAUAAAACCUCAAUAUUUAAAAGCCAACACCCAUUUCUUCUUCUUCUCCUUCCUUCCUUUUUCUCGUUCAUUUUUUUUUUCAUAUUUUGUUCUCUGCUUCUCCAGUCUGUUUUCCCCAGCAAUGAGAGAAUGAUAGAUAUGUUUGAAGUUUAAAUGGAUAAGUAUGGUAGAAUUGCAAAUCAAGUCCUCACUCUUCAUAUAAUAUACCAUUUACUCCUUUGAUUCCAGUAAAUAGAAACUAAAUCCCUAAAAUUCUUGUAAUUACAAAUUAAGCCCCAAAAGAAUCAUAUGUUCAACUUAAGUCCUUAUUGACUUUGUCUUUGACCAAUUACUUCCCUUGACUUUGACUAAAAAUGGGUGGGGUGUAACAAUCUCACCACCUUCAAAGAAUUUCGUCCUUGAAACUAACUCCACUAGAAUUCGUACAUAUUAGAAAAUAAAGCAAAAAUAUUAAAUGAUUUCCCCAACAACCUUUAACUAGGCCCAAGGUUCAUCCUUUCCUUAUCAUAGUUUGAAUAACUUUCGUAAGAAUCAAUAUAUGAUAUUCUCAUCUUUUCAUUUUACAUUUCUCAUUUCUUUUCCUCUAUAAAUAUUCACUCACUGCAAUAGCCACAUACAUAUUCCACUUAUCUUCUUCUCCUCUUCUAAUUUUUCAUUUCACUUUUCAGUUAGGCCCAUAUACAACACGACUUACUACUGCUGUCUUCCAUUUCUUUCCGUGCUUCAAAGUUUCAUUGUCAAUUUAAUUCCUUCAAGUCCUACAUUUGUAUGUAAAGAGAAUUCAAUGUUUUGCACGACUCCAAAUAUGCUUACUCGUACUAAAUUAAGAAACUUGAGCUUACCCAUUUCUUGAAUAAAGAAAGAAAAACACAACACCUAGACUUUCUCAAUUUCCUUUUCUUUUCUUUUAUUUUUAUUUUUAAUUUUUUAUUGUGCAUCAUCUCAACCACUUAACUUGUUUACCAUAACUAACAUCCCAUCUUCCUUAUAGUACAAUGUGAUAAUAUGUCCUUACUAACUCCAAUUUAACAUGUCGUCCUCGAUAAAUUAUAAACCAACACAACAAACCCGAUGAUGGCUAGAGGAAAAUCAAUUCACAUUUUAACUUAUACUAUUACGUUAUUCUGUUUACAUCAAACUGUCAUAUCUUUUGUUUAUCAUUAUUGACAAUGACUCUCAUAAUAAAAUAACCUUAUUAAGUGAACAUCAUCGUAUCAUAUGGCCACAAAAUUUAAUCAUGUCUCAUCUCCCAAGUUGAACAACAUGAUUCAUUGUACUUAUCUUGUUGACCCUUACUAAUUGAAAAUCAUUGUACCCAUAUUUAAUGAUCGAAUAUCGAUAACAUUGCAGGCCCAAUUAACAACCUUAAUGAAUAUCUAUGCAUCUCUCUUUAUUGUUUUCUUUCCUUUCUCAUUCUUUCGAUAAAUACACAUACUUACACAGAACCCAAGCUACUAUUGCAUAUAACCUAUACACAGUGAUUUAACACUAAUUCCUACUCUUACCUUUCUAUUCUCGUUAACUUCCGACCACACAUGUCCCCAAAUAUAUAUCCCUAUCAAAAUUAUAUUUCCUCUUAAUCCUUCCCUAUAUUUUAUUUAUUUAUUUUUCUUCUCCAACCUCAUUUAUCACUAAUCGUUCUCAUUUUGUAACACAUCGUUUAAUUGGUCAAGGCAAUCAUAAUCCCACCCUAGAUUUUUCUUGAAGUACAGAUGUAUGUUAAUCUUCUCAAUGCGUAAUAUACAUAAUAAAAUAUUGUAUUUUAUUAAUCAACAAUCUACAUAAUAUUAUCAUUUUGUCCUCCACAAAAUUCUUAUCAUAUAGAAUAAGUACACACCAACAUGCUUUCUAUUCUCAUCUCAACCAAGUGGCCACAAUUCAUCACGAUUUUCGAUAGCGCUAACAGUCAUUUAGCUCUCCAAAAUAAUUAAAAUCCUUCACAAAUUAUCACAAAUAUACACAUUAUAUCAAUUCUCCGUAUUUAUUGUGCAAGCUAUAACUAAAAAUUUUCCUAUAUAUCAUGAUCUAUUCAACUCUUAAUAUGUUACAUAUACCAUAAUUCCAACCCAACAACUAAUAACAUUUCCAACCAUCAGACCAUUGCAAAUAUCAUACUUAC
rnacentral:lncRNA from 1 species